UAUGGAGGGUGCAAGCGUUAUCCGGAUUCAUUGGGUUUAAAGGGUGCGCAGGCGGGGGGUUAAGUCAGUGGUGAAAUCCCGUAGCUCAACUACGGAACUGCCAUUGAUACUGAAUCUCUUGAGUCUGGUUGAUGUGAAUGGAAUGUGUCAUGUAGCGGUGAAAUGCUUAGAUAUGACACAGAACACCAAUCGCGAAGGCAGUUCACAAAGCCAGUACUGACGCUCAGGCACGACAGCAUGGGGAGCAAACAGG
rnacentral:rRNA from 1 species